GUGAAGAGAAUGAGAUGUUUGAUGCUGAAGCACUGGCUAUGCUGUUGAGGGCUGCUACCGGUGUUGGGCCUGAAGGUAGAAGUGUUUCAAUUCCAUCAGCUGAUGGUACACAGGUUUCUUCUCUGGAGCUUCCUGAUACCCCGGGAUCCUCAUUUCACUCGUCCAGACCUGGUCAGCCAACAAAUGCAGAUAAGUUUCCCCUAUCUGAUAAUAAGACUGAAGGUAUAUCAGAAGUGAUUUUGUCUGAAGAAGAAAAGAAGAAGCUUG
rnacentral:misc_RNA from 1 species